GCCUAGUUAGCUUGGUUGGUAGCGCUUUGUAAGCGCUAGACCGCGGGUUCGAUUCCCGCCCGGGGCG
rnacentral:tRNA from 1 species